GAUGAACGCUGGCGGCGUGCCUAAUACAUGCAAGUCGAGCGAACGGACGAGAAGCUUGCUUCUCUGCUGUUAGCGGCGGACGGGUGAUGAACAGGUGGAUAACCUACCUAUAGGACUGGGAUAAGUUCGGGAAACCUUAUCUAAUACCGGAUCAGAUUUUGAACCGCAUGGUUCAAAAGUGAAAGCCGGUUUUGAUGACACUUAUACAUGGAUCCGCGCUGCAUUAGCUAGUUGGUACGGUAACGGCUUACCAAGGCAACGAUGCAUAGCUGACCUGAGAGGGUGAUCGGCCACACUGGAACUGAGACACGGUCCAGACUCCUACGGGAGGCAGCAGUAGGGAAUCUUCCGCAAUGGGCGAAAGCCUGACGGAGCAAUGCCGCGUGAGUGAUGAAGGUCUUCGGAUCGUAAAACUCUGUUAUUAGGGAAGAACAUAUGUGUAAGUAACUGAGCACAUCUUGACGGUACCUAAUCAGAAAGCCACGGCUAACUACGUG
rnacentral:rRNA from 1 species